ACAGCUAAAUAUUUUUGUGACAAGAAUUGUGCAUUUGGUGAUAAAAGCACCAAAUUUGGCACAAAUGUAGCCAAACAUAUUUAAAAAAAAUCUGGAUAUUGAGCCAUCCUGAAUUUUCAUCAUGGCUGCCGUGGCAGCCAUUU